UGGGGAAUAUUGCACAAUGGGGGAAACCCUGAUGCAGCGACGCCGCGUGGAGGAAGAAGGUCUUCGGAUUGUAAACUCCUGUUGUUGAGGAAGAUAAUGACGGUACUCAACAAGGAAGUGACGGCUAACUACGUGCCAGCAGCCGCGGUAAAACGUAGGUCACAAGCGUUGUCCGGAAUUACUGGGUGUAAAGGGAGCGCAGGCGGGAAGACAAGUUGGAAGUGAAAUCCAUGGGCUCAACCCAUGAACUGCUUUCAAAACUGUUUUUCUUGAGUAGUGCAGAGGUAGGCGGAAUUCCCGGUGUAGCGGUGGAAUGCCGUAGAUAUCGGGAGGAACACCAGUGGCGAAGGCGGCCUACUGGGCACCAACUGACGCUGAGGCUCGAAAGUGUGGGUAGCAAAC
rnacentral:rRNA from 1 species